rnacentral:rRNA from 1 species
AGAGUUUGAUCAUGGCUCAGAACGAACGCUGGCGGCAGGCCUCAAACAUGCAAGUCUAGGGGGUGUAGCAAUACAUCACCGGCGGACGGGUGCGUAACACGUGGGAAUAUACCUUUUGGUUCGGAACAACGCAGGGAAACUUGCGCUAAUACCGAAUGUGCCCUUACGGGGAAAGAUUUAUCGCCAAAGGAUUAGCCCGCGUCCGAUUAGCUAGUUGGUGAGGUAAUGGCUCACCAAGGCUCCGAUCGGUAGCUGUUCUGAGAGGAAGAUCAGCCACACUGGGACUGAGACACGGCCCAGACUCCUACGGGAGGCAGCAGUUGGGAAUCUUGGACAAUGGGGGAAACCCUGAUCCAGCCAUGCCGCGUGAGUGAUGAAGGCCUUCGGGUUGUAAAACUCUUUCGACGGGGACGAUAAUGACGGUACCCGUAGAAGAAGCUCCGGCUAACUUCGUGCCAGCAGCCGCGGUAAUACGAAGGGGGCUAGCGUUGUUCGGAAUUACUGGGCGUAAAGCGCGCGCAGGCGGUCUUCCGAGUCAGUGGUGAAAGCCCCGAGCUCAACUCCGGAAAUGCCAUUGAAACUGUGAGACUUGAGGAUGAGAGAGGUGAGUGGAAUUCCCAGUGUAGAGGUGAAAUUCGUAGAUAUUGGGAAGAACACCGGUGGCGAAGGCGGCUCACUGGCUCAUUUCUGACGCUCAGGCGCGACAGCGUGGGGAUCAAACAGGAUUAGAUACCCCCGUAGUCC